UCCCUGGUGGUCCAGUGGCUAAAAUUCUGUGCUCACAAUGCAGGGGGCCUGGGUUUGAUUCCUGGUCAGGGAA
rnacentral:tRNA from 1 species